UCAACCAAGUCUAUUCCUAACAACCCCCCAAAGUACUUAGGCGUUUACUUAGCUCAGUGAAGACGUGUCAGCUCCGUUAUUUGAUUAGCAUUUCUGAGAUAAGACUCCCUGAUCUACUUUCGAGCCUUUUCUGAAGACUGGCCAUGCGACCUCUGGAGGGCUCCCUGCACGGCCAUUGAUUCUAUUCCCAGUUAGAAGAGGAGGAAAACUGCUAAAAAAUCAAAACUAAACAACACAAAAGAAUAACCACCCCCCAGAACCCAGGGAAGGAACAGCAGAGGGAACCAUGGGUGAGGUUCAAAAAAAAAAGAACGAAAAUAUUUUCCAUUCAGAAGACAUAAACCUGCAUGUGUGCACUGAGUGGGGCAAAUCAUUUUGCUCCUUAAUUUUCCCCAGUUGAACACGGCGUUUGUUGUCAGUGUCCUAACCCGUGGCUUUCAGAAGCUGAGAGGUCACGAAACACCUCAUCGAACGACAAAUUCUUAUUUCCUUCAGGGGACUAAAUGCGGAACUGCAGAGACGAGAUAAGAAGCCAGCUCCACGGGAGCAGCGUGGAAAUUCCACCCCGAGUAACAUUUUGGAGCUGAGAGAGCUAAACUCACAGGAAAUCACACACAGGUUCUAAGACACAUUCCCCACAGGUUGUGAACAAAGGUUCAUAAUGUUUCCAAAGUCAGAAUUGUUUACCUUCCUCCACCUACCGCAGAAAACUUACGUAACUUUUUUUUUUCCUCCUAAGGAUAGGUAACAGAUUUUAAAAUAUUCCGGUGAGGUUUCGCCUUACGGCAACCUACCCUGACUUCUCCCCGGACAAAGGAAACUGACUGCCAGAAAAAGACCCAAGAACUCUAGAAUCACUGAAAAUCAGUAACAAACUUGCUCUGACAGCCACUAUGAGAGCAAAACACUUGCAAGGAGAAGUCGGAGUCGUUCCUUCCCUCCACCUAGAUCACUUACACCCACAGCAAACAAGACAACAUCUGGAUAUUGUUUCACAGGCAAGAAUAAAGCACUUUUUUUUUUGCCCCAUCAUUAAGUAAAAAACCCGUUUUCCACAUGCAAA